rnacentral:rRNA from 1 species
AGCAGCCACCUUUUAAAACGCGUCAAAGCGUAACCUAAACCCCCCAAAAUACCAUUAAUUUUCAUGAACCCCUAAUUUAUAAUGAAUGACUCCAUAUUUAUAUGGAAGACACCAUGCUAGGAUUAGUAACAAGAAUUUAUAAUUCUCCAAAAUGCAAAUAUAAACCAACAUGGAUAGACCAUUGGUAGUUACCGAACCUAAAUUUACUGCAAUAACACCCACAAGAAAACUCUGCAGUACUUACUCGUUAACCUAACACCAGCGCAUUACAGGAAAGAUUUAAAAAAAGAGAAGGAAUUCGGCAAAUGACGGCCCCGCCUGUUUACCAAAAACAUCGCCUCUUGACUUAUAAUAAGAGGUCCAGCCUGCCCAGUGAAUUUUAAACGGCCGCGGUAUCCUAACCGCGCGAAGGUAGCAUAAUCACUUGUUCUUUAAAUGGGGACUCGUAUCAACGGCAUCACGAGGGUUUUACUGUCUCCUCUUUUUGAUCAGUGAAAUUGAUCUUCCCGUGAAGAAGCGGGAAUAUUUUUAUAAGACGAGAAGACCCCAUGGAGCUUUAAACCAAAUAACAACUUAACUACUUAUCCCACAAUAAAUUUAAGCCCUGUUAUAAGGUUUUUGGUUGGGGUGACCGCGGAGUAAAGCACAUCCUCCACGACGGAAAGAACAUAAUCUUUAUUUAAGAACCACACUUCUAGAAAUUAGUAUACUAACGUUUACUGACCCGACAAUCGAUCAACGGACCAAGUUACCCUGGGGAUAACAGCGCAAUCUACUUCAAGAGCUCAUAUCGACAAGUAGGCUUACGACCUCGAUGUUGGAUCAGGGUAUCCCGGUGGUGCAGCCGCUACCGAAGGUUCGUUUGUUCAACGAUUAAAACCCUACGUGAUCUGAGU